CGAGAAGAGUCGACAUCGAGAACCACCAUUUCAGCGAUGCCCUGACUUGCUUCGGUAACGAAAGGUGGGCGCAUACCACCGCCAUGACUUUGGUGAAGACCCUCGGCGCCGUGGCCAACCCGAACGGAAGAACGGUGAAUUGGUACUGGGAUGUACCGAUCGAAAACCGAAGAUAAGAAAGAAGUAAGAAGAAUUAGGAAAGAUUGAAGAAUGAACAGGUUUAAAGAAAAGAUUAAGUAAGUUAACUAGAAAAACGC